UUUUGGCGCAAUUGGUGACACUGUUUUUAAAGGUGAUAUUUAAAACAAGGAUUCGGCAAAAAGUUACUUGAUAUUCUAGUAGCAGUGACGUUUUCGCCAGCAUCACAACGACCAUGCUCGUUACCAAAUAAAUUUUUGUGCCACAGACGCUAUAAGUGCAACUUAGUUCUUUAAUUGAUCCUAUAUAUGAUUCUAUACACAUAGUACAAAAUCGUAACAACAUUUAUUUUGCAAUUAUUAUAAGCUCUGAUAGUAGUAGAACACAUAAAAUGAUCAAUGGUCCAGACUUUCUUUGUUACUGGUAGGUGAAGGAGACAUGUAAUGAUUGAUCCUCCACACUUUCUUUGUUACUGCUAGGUGAAGGACACUUCAAUGAUUGAUCGUCCACACUUUCUUUGUUACUGAUAGGUGAAGGAGACUUGCAAUGAUCGAUCGUCCACACUUUCUCUGCUAUUGCUAGGUGAAGAAGACAUGCAAUGAUUGAUCCUCCACACUUUCUUUGUUACUGCUAGGUGAAGGAGACAUGCAAUGUUUCAGAUCGAUGGUCCACACUUUCUUUGUUACUGCUAGGAACAGAUGUAAUGAUUGAUCGUUCACACUUUCUUUGUUACUGGUAGGUGAAGGAGACUUGCAAUGAUCGAUCGUCCACACUUUCUCUGCUAUUGCUAGGUGAAGAAGACAUGCAAUGAUUGAUCCUCCACACUUUCUUUGUUACUGCUAGGUGAAGGAGACAUGCAAUGUUUCAGAUCGAUGGUCCACACUUUCUUUGUUACUGCUAGGAACAGAUGUAAUGAUUGAUCGUUCACACUUUCUUUGUUACUGGUAGGUGAAGGAGACUUGCAAUGAUCGAUCGUCCACACUUUCUCUGCUAUUGCUAGGUGAAGAAGACAUGCAAUGUUUCAGAUCAAUGGUCCACACUUUCUGUGUUACUGCUAGGAACAGACGUAAUGUUUCCAACGGAUAUUUAGUUCUGUGGAAGUUGCUAAGCAAGCUAAGGCGUUGGCUAAGCAACUAUAUAAUGACGAAUAAUUGAACCACAUUUUGUUGCUGCUAAGCGAAAAUACAUGUAAUGAGUAUUUUCAAAAUAACUGUAACCUUAUAACCAAAUAAAUGUUUGUCAAUGUUAUUAUUUUGUACCAUGUUAGACUU